rfam:Homo sapiens chromosome 12, GRCh38 reference primary assembly.
UACAUUCCAUGAUGUCCAGCACUGGGCUCUGAUCACUCCGGAGGACACAGUUUUCCCCAAGACCAUGGCUACCUGGGGAUCUGAGAGAAAA